rnacentral:rRNA from 1 species
CCUACGGGGGGCUGCAGUCAAGAAUAUUCGGCAAUGGACGAAAGUCUGACCGAGCGACGCCGCGUGACUGACGAAGUCCUUCGGGAUGUAAAGGUCUUUUAUCAGGGACGAACUAUGACGGUACCUGAAGAAUAAGGGGUUGCUAACUCUGUGCCAGCAGCAGCGGUAAUACAGAGACCUCAAGCGUUAUCCGGAUUGAUUGGGCGUAAAGAGUGCGCAGACGGCUUUGUAAGUCUAUGGUUAAACUCCGGGGCUCAACCUCGGAACUGCCACGG